GUGGAUCUUUACUGACUUGGCUCGGGACCAGCACUCCUGUUGUUGGACAGAAAGACAUCAACUCAGUGACUUGAGAUAUGACUGCACUGUGCUGUUGCUGUGACUCCAGUUAAUUCUGCAAGACAUGCUGUGUAAGUAAACAAACAACAACAGUUUG